GAUGAAGAACGCAGCGAAAUGCGAUAAGUAAUGUGAAUUGCAGAAUUCAGUGAAUCAUCGAAUCUUUGAACGCACAUUGCGCCCCUUGGUAUUCCGGGGGGCAUGCCUGUUCGAGCGUCAUUAUAACCCCUCAAGCUCAGCUUGGUGUUGGGGCCUGCCGACUGGCAGCCCUUAAAAUCAGUGGCGGCGCCAUCUGGCUCUAAGCGUAGUAAUUUCUCUCGCUAUAGAGUCCCGGUGGAUGCUUGCCAGCAACCCACAACUUUCUAUGGUUGACCUCGGAUCAGGUAGGGAUACCCGCUGAACUUAAGCAUAUCAAUAAGCGGAGGA
rnacentral:misc_RNA from 1 species